rnacentral:rRNA from 1 species
CCGGAUAUGCCUUAGGGUGAAAGAUAAAUUGCCUGAAGAUGAGCUCGCGUCUGAUUAGCUAGUUGGUGUGGUAAGAGCGCACCAAGGCGGCGAUCAGUAGCUGGUCUGAGAGGAUGAUCAGCCACACUGGAACUGAGACACGGUCCAGACUCCUACGGGAGGCAGCAGUGGGGAAUUUUCCGCAAUGGGCGAAAGCCUGACGGAGCAAGACCGCGUGAGGGAGGAAGGCUCUUGGGUUGUAAACCUCUUUUCUCAGGGAAGAAAUUUGACGGUACCUGAGGAAUCAGCAUCGGCUAACUCCGUGCCAGCAGCCGCGGUAAUACGGAGGAUGCAAGCGUUAUCCGGAAUGAUUGGGCGUAAAGCGUCCGCAGGUGGCCCUUCAAGUCUGCUGUUAAAGCGUUUGGCUUAACCAAAUAAAGGCAGUGGAAACUGAAAGGCUGGAGUGCGGUAGGGGUAGAGGGAAUUCCUGGUGUAGCGGUGAAAUGCGUAGAGCUCAGGAAGAACACCGGUGGCGAAAGCGCUCUACUGGACCUGCACUGACACUGAGGGACGAAAGCUA